rnacentral:lncRNA from 1 species
UCCUGAGCUGUUUCUUGUGGGGAGCGAACGUGUGGUUUGUGUUUAAAGAAACAAUAUGGCAUAAAGAACCUGGUGCUACCACCACAGCUGAACAACCCCAGGUUGAGAUGCCGCGUCAAGAAGUACCUGGAGAGCCUGUGCCUUGAAACAACUGCAGUGUGAAACUAUAAUACCUUACUUCACUUCACUUAGAAACAAACUUUAGAAAUUACUUUAUUAGUGUUAUAAAUACUGUCCUCUAGUAGACAAUAUAGAGGUUCAGAUUUGACUUCCACUACCGCUACCAUUAAGGGACCAUCGACCAAUCGGAUGCGUUUGAUAUAUUCGAUUAACCAAUCAGAUGCGUUUGAUAUAUUCGAUUAGCCAAUCAGAUGCGUUUGAUAUAUUCGAUUAACCAAUCAGAUGCGUUUGAUAUACUCGAUUAACCAAUCAGAUGCGUAACCAAUCAGAUGCGUUUGAUAUAUUCGAUUAACCAAUCAGAUGCGUACUAAGCCAGUGAGAGGU